rnacentral:rRNA from 1 species
AGCAGCCGCGGUAAUUCCAGCUCCAAUAGCGUAUAUUAAAGUUGUUGCAGUUAAAAAGCUCGUAGUUGAAUUUCGGGGUUAGUAGGUUGGUCAUGCCUCUGGUAUGUACUGGUCUCACUGAUUCCUCCUUCCUGAUGAGCCGUAAUGCCAUUAAUUUGGUGUUGCGGGGAAUCUGGACUGUUACUUUGAAAAAAUUAGAGUGUUUAAAGCAGGCUAACGCCUGAAUACAUUAGUAUGGAAUAAUGAAAUAGGACGUUCGAUCCUAUUUUGUUGGUUUCUAGGAUUGACGUAAUGAUUAAUAGGGAUAGUUGGGGGCAUUAGUAUUCAAUUGUCAGAGGUGAAAUUCUUGGAUUUAUUGAAGACUAACUACUGCGAAAGCAUUUGCCAAGGAUGUUUUCAUUAAUCAAGAACGAAAGUUAGGGGAUCGAAGACGAUCAGAUACCGUCGUAG